rnacentral:rRNA from 1 species
UUCUAACCGUAAACGAUGACAACCAGCGAUUAAUCGGCGUUAAUAUAUGACCCGAUUAGCAGCUUCCGGGAAACCAAAGUUUUUCGUUUCCGGGGGAAGUAUGGUUGCAAAGCUGAAACUUAAAGGAAUUGACGGAAGGGCACCACCAGGAGUGGAGCCUGCGGCUUAAUUUGACUCAACACGGGGAAACUCACCCGGCCCGGACACCGUAAGGAUUGACAGACUGAGAGCUCUUUCUUAAUUCGGUGGGUGGUGGUGCAUGGCCGUUCUUAGUUGGUGGAGCGAUUUGUCUGGUUAAUUCCGAUAACGAACGAGACUCUGGCCUAUUAAAUAGACGAUAUAUUUAAAAGUAUAUCGCGCUUCUUAGAGGGACAAGCGGCGUCUAGCCGCAUGAAAUAGAGCAAUAACAGGUCUGUGAUGCCCUUAGAUGUCCGGGGCUGCACGCGCGCUACACUGAAAGAAUCAGUGGGCGUUCUACCUAGUUCGGAAGAACCGGGUAACCCAAGUAAAUUCUUUCGUGCUUGGGAUAGGGAAUUGCAAUUAUUUCCCUUAAACGAGGAAUUCCCAGUAAAUGCGGGUCAUUAGCUCGCGUUG